AACUAACGCUGGCGGCGUGCCUAACACAUGCAAGUCGUACGAGAAAGUCGGCUUCGGCCGAUCAGUAAAGUGGCGCACGGGUGAGUAACGCGUGGGUAAUCUGCCCCCCGGUCAGGAAUAACCCGCCGAAAGGCGGGCUAAUACCCGAUAACACUGACACUCUGCGGAGUGUCUUUCCAAGAAGGCCUCUGUUUACAAGCUUUCACCGGAGGAUGAGCCCGCGUACCAUUAGCUAGUUGGCAGGGUAAUGGCCUACCAAGGCAACGAUGGUUAGCUGGUCUGAGAGGAUGACCAGCCACACUGGAACUGAGACACGGUCCAGACUCCUACGGGAGGCAGCAGUGAGGAAUCUUGCGCAAUGGGGGAAACCCUGACGCAGCAACGCCGCGUGAGUGAGGAAGGCUUUCGGGUCGUAAAGCUCUGUCGGAUGGGAAGAAAUGGUUGGAAGCUAAUACCUUCCAUCCUUGACGGUACCAUCAGAGGAAGCACCGGCUAACUCCGUGCCAGCAGCCGCGGUAACAC
rnacentral:rRNA from 1 species